AAUAGCUAUCAAUAUUUGACAGGGCGCAUAGCUGGAUCAUAUGGGAAGAGGAUGCUGCUUGCUGCUCUCCACUCCCGUGGCAGACAUAAAGGCGCGCAGCGUCACUCACGUAAAAAUGGACGAGAGGACUUCGACGAGCCAGGCUCUGAAAAUGAGGGCGGUCCGGCUGAUGAUCGCCAAGAGGACGAUGAAGGAGGCCAUGAACAGCGGAAGAAGGACCGCAAAAAAAGCGAUAUGUAAAGUGGUCUGUGCCCGAAGUGCAGAGACUGCGGGCGAUACUGAAAGCCCGCGGUGGGCGGGUACCCAGUAUGGAUGACCUCAGAGACCUGUACAAGAGGGAGCCGUUCAACGGCCAUAAUCUGAAUGACAUAAGAUGCAAGAUGUACAAACUUAAACAGAAGGCAGAGUGAGCUGCUGGAGCGGCCGGGCCGGGCUGUUCUGGGUUGGGUCCGGACGGGACUUGGGGACCGGCGCCGCCCGCGGCGUCAAAUACAUGUGUCUGCCCGCGCCCCGAUGCCGCCCGCGGCGACAAUACAUGUGUCUGCCCGCGCCCCGAUGCCGCCCGCGGCGACAAUACAUGUGCCUGCCCGCGCCCCGAUGCCGCCCGCGACGUCAGCAGUGCUCUCUGUGGCAGCCAGUGAACAGCCGCCACAUGGCCUAUGUCAGGAUCGCUCGAGGCGCUGCAGUAGGUCCUGCUGGCCGUGUCCGGUGUUUGGUUGUCAAGCUCUGAAGCACCGUUUUUGUUGAGUUUGGUUAUCAAGCUCAGAAGUCAGAGGCACCGUUUUUGCUGCGUGAUACCGAUGGCACGGACGCAUGUACCAUGUUCGGUUGUGUCUCGUGUGCCUGGUGUAAGUCUAGUGAUUGUGUUGAUCCGAUCGAGUCUGUGCUAGGGUCCAGUGGCAGCGCCCGAUGCCGUCGGUCCAUGUGUGGUCGGCAAAGGGUGGCCAGCGGCCUAGCGUACGUCGGAGUCGUGAGCGUCAAGAUGGCGUGUGAAGUGUGUAUGGGUUGUUGUGUAUCUCGAUAACGUGUUUCCUCAUAAUGGUUUCGAUGCUGUAAGUUCUCGUAAGUCCGUUGUCAUCAGUUGUUCUCUGGUGUCCGUCCUUCCCUGUUCGGCACUGGCAGCGGUGCCCGGUGAUAGGGCUGAAUCGGGCCGGGGGCUGGGCUGUGCUGGGUUGGGUCCGGAUGGGACUCGCGGCCCGGAGCCGCCCGCGGCGUCAGUAAGUACAUACAUUGAGUUUUACAUUGAGACAGAAGCACCGUUUUUGUUGAGUGACACCGAUGGCACGGACUUGAGUACCAUGAUCCGUUGUGUGUUGUGUGCCUGGUGUAAGAUUGUGUUGAUCCGAUCGAGUCUGUGCUAGGGUCCAGUGGCAGCGCCCGAUGCCGUCGGUCCAUGUGUGGUCGGCAAAGGGUGGCCAGUCCGGCAGCUGCAUUUUUGUGUCCUUAUUGAAAUACACUGUCAGUCGUCAGAAAA
rnacentral:misc_RNA from 1 species